CUUGCGGCCAUAUCACGUUGAAAUACCGGUUCUCGUCCGAUCACCGAAGUUAAGCAACGUCGAGCCUGGUCAGUACCUAGAUAAGUGAUCGCUUGAGAAUACCAGUUGCUGAAA
rnacentral:rRNA from 1 species